AAUCAACGCUGGCGGCGUGCCUCAGACAUGCAAGUCGAACGAUUAAGACUUCCUUCGGGAAGUGUAUAAAGUGGCGCACGGGUGAGUAACACGUAAGUAAUCUACCCUCGAGUGGGGAAUAACGUUCGGAAACGAACGCUAAUACCGCAUAAUGCAGCGGCAUCGCAAGAUGACAGUUGUUAAAGGAGUAAUUCGCUUGAGGAGGAGCUUGAGGCAGAUUAGCUAGUUGGUAAGGUAACGGCUUACCAAGGCUACGAUCUGUAUCCGGUCUAAGAGGACGGUCGGACACACUGACACUGAAUAACGGGUCAGACUCCUACGGGAGGCAGCAGUCGGGAAUUUUGGGCAAUGGGCGAAAGCCUGACCCAGCAACGCCGCGUGAAGGAUGAAGUAUUUCGGUAUGUAAACUUCGAAAGAAUGGGAAGAAUAAAUGACGGUACCAUUUAUAAGCUCCGGCUAACUACGUGCCAGCCGCCGCAGUAACAC
rnacentral:rRNA from 1 species